rnacentral:rRNA from 1 species
GAUCAUGGCUCAGGAUGAACGCUGGCGGCGUGCUUAACACAUGCAAGUCGAGCGAAGCACUUAAGUUUGAUUCUUCGGAUGAAGACUUUUGUGACUGAGCGGCGGACGGGUGAGUAACGCGUGGGUAACCUGCCUCAUACAGGGGGAUAACAGUUAGAAAUGACUGCUAAUACCGCAUAAGACCACGGUACCGCAUGGUACAGUGGUAAAAACUCCGGCGGCAUGAGAUGGACCCGCG